GGGAAGCAGAGGCCUGUAGCAGUCGGAGCUUGGCAGGAGUUGACCUCUCUCUUCAAUUCUCCACUGGAAAUACUUGAAGUCUUAGAUCACCGAGAUAUGCAGAAUUCUAUUAGAAGAAUAAAAUAUUGCAGUUAGCUUGCUCAGUCAUUUGCGAGGUGUACGACUUCAGGUGGAGAACAGGCUCCAGGAGGGCUGCCAGCGUUGUCAGUGCCAGAAGCAAAGGAAGGGGGCUGGAACCCAGGAUAAUUAAGCCAGGAGGAUCUGUGACGUCCCUUCACAAACACAAACUGAGGGAACUGAAGGAGCUGAACUAGGAGAGGCUGCUGGGUUGGAAAAAAUGCCUCGUGGGCUGUGAAGAGCGGCAGUGUUUUUACCUGGGAGAGCCCCAGAAACUUGGGUGAGGGUCAAAGACGAGGACUUGGUGCUGAGGUUUGGGGAAUUUGAUCUUCCUGGAGCAUUCACACCAGGGAGUUAAGGACACCAUCUGCCUAUGUCAUCAGCUGUGCGUAGGUCCACCCGGGAUCCGAACCCGCGAAUCCUGAGACACCAAAGCGACGGGAAGAUUAGCCCUGAGCAAACAUCUGCCACCAAUCCUCCUACCUUUGCUGAGGAAGACUGGCCCUGAGCUAACAUCCGUGCCCAUCCUCCUCCACUCUAUGUGUGCGACGCCUGCCACAGCAUGGCUUGCCAAGCGGUGCCAUGUCCGCACGCGGGAUCCGAAGUGGCGGACCCUGGGCCUUCAAAGCGGAACGUGCGCACUCAAGCGCUGCACCACCAG
rnacentral:lncRNA from 1 species